UACGAAGGGGGCUAGCGUUGCUCGGAAUCACUGGGCGUAAAGGGUGCGUAGGCGGGUCUUUAAGUCAGGGGUGAAAUCCUGGAGCUCAACUCCAGAACUGCCUUUGAUACUGAGGAUCUUGAGUUCGGGAGAGGUGAGUGGAACUGCGAGUGUAGAGGUGAAAUUCGUAGAUAUUCGCAAGAACACCAGUGGCGAAGGCGGCUCACUGGCCCGAUACUGACGCUGUAGCGCGAAAGCGUGGGGAGCGAACGGG
rnacentral:rRNA from 1 species